ACAGACCCGCUAGCCAAGCUUCUCAGCCAGCUAAAGACUGAAGCUCACUUUGAGAAAAUGGAUCUUAGGUAUAUGACCAAUUGGCUUUAGGUCAAGUGAGAGUUUGUUAGAUUUGUGCCUUAAAAGUCAAUUGUUGGCUGACAUAUUAUAUAAUUUUAGGAUCUAAACUUGUACUUAUAAUCUUUUUUUAUUAUCAAUAAAAGAUUUUUUCUUUCCAAUCAUAUUUAUGUGUCCACGAUUUAUCCUAAAAAUUAACAAAGAUAAUUUUUGUAUAUUUUUAAAGAGUUAAAAUUUGAGACAUAUAUUAAUUAGUGGUUAAUUUCUAAAUACUCUCGAUUAAAAGAUCAUCAUCGAGGA
rnacentral:lncRNA from 1 species